rnacentral:lncRNA from 1 species
UAUGUGCUGGCUCAAAGAGGCUAGAAAUAUUGCAAUGGAAGCUUCUAGCAAAACAGGUGUCGGUAAAGAAAAAGAAGCUGUGCUGCAACCAUCUUGUUCCCUUAAAGUACCUGUGCACUUAUGAACAACGAAUCAAUUCUUAAAUAUCACGUGUAGUCCAACCAGAAGAAUAGGCACGAAU